GACGAACGCUGGCGGCGUGCUUAACACAUGCAAGUCGAACGGAAAGGCCCUGCUUUUGUGGGGUGCUCGAGUGGCGAACGGGUGAGUAACACGUGAGUAACCUGCCCUUGACUUUGGGAUAACUUCAGGAAACUGGGGCUAAUACCGGAUAGGAGCUCCUGCUGCAUGGUGGGGGUUGGAAAGUUUCGGCGGUUGGGGAUGGACUCGCGGCUUAUCAGCUUGUUGGUGGGGUAGUGGCUUACCAAGGCUUUGACGGGUAGCCGGCCUGAGAGGGUGACCGGCGACAGUGGGACUGAGAUACGGCCCAGACUCCUACGGGAGGCAGCGGUGGGGAGUAUUGCACAAUGGGCGGGAGCCUGAUGCAGCAACGCCGCGUGCGGGAUGACGGCCUUCGGGUUGUAAACCGCUUUCGCCGGUGACGAAGCGUGAGUGACGGUAAUGGGUAAAGAAGCACCGGCUAACUACGUG
rnacentral:rRNA from 1 species